rnacentral:misc_RNA from 1 species
GAUGAAGAACGUAGCGAAAUGCGAUAAGUAGUGUGAAUUGAGAAUUCAGUGAAUCAUCGAAUCUUUGAACGCACAUUGCGCCCCUUGGUAUCCCGAGGGGCAUGCCUGUUCGAGCGUCAUUUCACCACUCAAGCCUGGCUUGGUGUUGGGCGACGUCCCCUUUGGGGACGCGCCUCGAAACGCUCGGCGGCGUGGCACCGGCUUUAAGCGUAGCAGAAUCUUUCGCUUUGGAAGUCGGGGCCCCGUCUGCCGGAAGACCUACUCGCAAGGUUGACCUCGGAUCAGGCAGGGAUACCCGCUGAACUUAAGCAUAUCAAUAAGCGGAGGA